AGCGAACGCUGGCGGCAGGCCUAACACAUGCAAGUCGAACGAACCCUUCGGGGUUAGUGGCGGACGGGUGAGUAACACGUGGGAACGUGCCUUUAGGUUCGGAAUAACUCAGGGAAACUUGUGCUAAUACCGAAUGUGCCCUUCGGGGGAAAGAUUUAUCGCCUUUGGAGCGGCCCGCGUCUGAUUAGCUAGUUGGGGAGGUAAAGGCUCACCAAGGCGACGAUCAGUAGCUGGUCUGAGAGGAUGAUCAGCCACAUUGGGACUGGGACACGGCCCAGACGCCUACGGGAGGCAGCAGGGGGGAAUCAUGCGCAAGGGGCGAAUGCCCGACGCAGCCAUGCCGGGUGAAUGAUGAAGGUCUUAGGAAUGAAAAAUUCUUUCACCGGGGACGAUAAUGACGGUACCCGGAGAAGAAGCCCCGGCUAACUUCGUGCCAGCAGCCGCCGUAACAC
rnacentral:rRNA from 1 species